rnacentral:lncRNA from 1 species
AAUUGGCUUGCAUUGCACCUUCCUACCCAAGCAGCUUGGUUUUCUUUCGCUUUGACCCUGUAAUUUCUUUCCCACUUCGUUGUCGUCUCUGAAUUACCUUUCUCUUGAUUCUUGCCCAUUAGCAUCCUCCAAUUUCAGAUGUUUGUAGAUCCCCAAGUGUUCCCAGGGAAAACUACUAGAAAAGGUGAGUUCUCAACACCUGGAAUUUUUUAAAAAAUGAAAAAAUAAAGUUCUAGAAAUCAUAAUAGAAAGACUGACCCAGGGGAGCUACCAGACGCUCCUCAGAUGCUUAGCAAUGAAGAACUAUGGUGUUCAGCUUUGUCAAUUCCUUUCUUGUGAUCUUUAAUGCAUUUAGCUGGACAUCUGUUUUGAGUUUGGUUCCAUAUACUAAGACUUGGAAUAGUAUUUGUAGCAUUGAUUCUCGCCAAGGUAAAAACAGUUGCAUAAAAAUUAUGAGCUACAAAUUUGGUCCUGACAAAUGUAUGCAGUUGACACUUGCCCCAUCAUGUAUAGUCUUAUUGCUGAGAGGAUCUUCCUCAGGUUAUAUCGCGUAUGUAUCAGAAGCAAAUUCAAGGCCCUUUUCUUUGCAAAUAUUUUUUUUUCCCUUAACUUUUAUUUUAGGUUCAGGGGUACAAGUGCAGGUAAGCUCAUGUCGCAGGGGUUUGGUAUAUAACUUAUUUCGUCACCCAGGUACUAAGUGUAGUACCCAAUAGUUAUUUUUUCUGAUCUUCUCCCUCCUCCCACUCUCCUCCUCAAGUAGGCCCCAGUGUCUGUUGUUCCUUCUUUGUGUCCAUUUGUUCUCAUUAUUUAGCUCCCACUUACAACUAAGAACAUGCAGUAUUUGGUUUUCUGUUCCUGCAUUAGUUUGCUAAGGAUAAUGGCCUCCAGCUGCAUUCAUGUCCCUGAGAGGACAUGAUCUCAUUCUUCUGUGGCUGCAUAGUAUUCCAUGGUAUAUGUGUACCACAUUUUCUUUAUCCAGUCCGUUGAUGGGCAUUUAGGUUGAAUCCAUGUCUUUAUCAUGAAUAUCAAUGAACACGCAUGUACAUGUGUUUUUAUGGUAGAACAAUUUCUGUUUCUUUGGGUAUAUACCCAGUAAUGGGAUUGCUAGGGCAAAUGGUAUUAUUUUUCAUUCUACAUUUCUUGGUGAAAACUGGAAGCCAGUGAUCCUAUAAAAGCUCCCAUUUAUUACCAAAAGGUAGCAGUAACUUCCUAAGGAGGUGUUUGAGAGUACGUGUGUCAGAGCCAGAGAGACAGCUUUCAGAGCCUGCUUCCAUCACUUACUAGCUAUGACACAUUGGGCAAACUACUACUUAAUGCCUCUAGGCCCCAGUUUCAUCAUUUGUAGAACAAAGACAACAAUAUUACCUACCUCAAAGUGCUGUUGCAAGGGGUAAAGCAACAAAAAGCAUUAAGAACUUACUGGGAACAUAGAAGACACUAAGAAAUGUUAGCUGUUAUUUCUAUUAAAUGUGUUUGAUAUUGUUUUAUUUUUUAGAAUAAUCAAGGGUCACAGAUAUAAUAGUCGGGUAAUUCAUUCCUGG